AAGAGCAAAAUGCUGUCUGUGUCUCACUCAAUGUGGUGGCUGCUACAGGAGGAUCUUCCCAGGCCUUCUCAGGGAAUUCCCAUCAGGAUCACAGGAAUGGUACCUGGCAGACACAACCCAGUCUGCACCUUCCAUGGGCCACAGCUGAUGGUACGAGGAGAGGUGUGACAUCUGCCUGACCUCAGCUCUGGGGGUUCCUGUGGGUGGACAGAAGGAGCCCUGGAGGCCCGGCCAGGAUGCGUCAUCUGUGGCUACCACGUGGAUUCUCUGGUGUGCUGAGUCAAGGCAGCGAUCUUCCAAGUGUGGUCGCUGUACCUCCAUCAGCACCUCCUGGGACUUGUCAGGACGCUGACCCGGGCCCCAGCCAAGUUCUGCUGCUGCCUCAGGGGGACAGAGGCAGGGCCUCACUGUCUGAUGAUCCAGCCCUGCAGGGGGCCCGCUGCACCUGCAGGUGUGAGAGCCGCCGCUGAAUUAAGGUGACUGGAAGGUUUCAGGGCAUGGGAGGGAGGUAGAUCAUUUGGGGCUGAGAAGCACUUUUGCAUCUCUUUCCUGCCCAGAAGCGACCAGAGAGGCCAGGCAUUGUCACCU
rnacentral:lncRNA from 10 species